GACUCUUUGAUGCAGGUCCCCACACAGAACCGUGUCCUCCCAUUACCGACGCUAAUCUCCUAAGUCAGAACAGUUGAGAUGUCUCGGGGUCAACAAUGAACACAGGAAGCUGUGGAGGCCCAAAUUACUCAAGGUUGCUAUCUCUUGGACUACUCUCUGAGGGAAUUCCUUGAGGCCUUCACGGAAGAAGGUCAAUGGCCACAGACACAGUGUUGGUCACUUUCAUCAGCUACAGGUUGCACAUCCAGCGGAUGCAGUUUGUGGAUGGCUUAGCACUAACAUAGUGAUGGGGAAGACAGGGGUGAAUGACAGAAAGCGCUUCUCAGCCUGUUCAGACACGGAGAAAGCUUCCAGAAAGGAAAAGAGGCCAUGCUCCUUACCUGUCAUUUAUUGUUAUUCCCAAAUGUAGUCACUCAACAGUAUUUACCAACUUCCCACCAAAAUCCAGUCAAUGCCUAACAUCCUUUUAAUGGUGGCUGUCUUUUA